rnacentral:rRNA from 1 species
CACGUAGUUAGCCGUCCCCUUUCUGGUAAGAUACCGUCACAGUGUGAACUUUCCACUCUCACACUCGUUCUUCUCUUACAACAGAGCUUUACGAUCCGAAAACCUUCUUCACUCACGCGGCGUUGCUCGGUCAGACUUCCGUCCAUUGCCGAAGAUUCCCUACUGCUGCCUCCCCGUAGGAGUCUGGGGCCGUGUCUCAGUCCCAGUGUGGCCGAUCACCCUCUCAGGUCGGCUAUGUAUCGUCGCCUUGGUGAGCCGUUACCUCACCAACUAGCUAAUACAACGCAGGUCCAUCUGGUAGUGGAGCAAUUUGCCCCUUUCAAGCAGAUAUCAUGCAAUAAUCUACUGUUAUGCGGUAUUAGCUAUCGUUUCCAAAUAGUUAUCCCCCGCUACCAGGCAGGUUACCUACGCGUUACUCACCCGUUCGCAAACUCAAUCCGGAAAGAGCAAAGCUCCUUCCUUCAGCCGUUCUACUUUGCAUGUAUUAAGGCAACGCCCGCCAGCGUUUCUA